rnacentral:snRNA from 1 species
AUACUUACCUGGCAGGGGAGGUACCAUGAUCAAGAAGGUGGUUCACCCACCAUUGCACUCCCUUUGUGCUGACCCCUGCUGAUUCCCCAAAUGUGGGAAUCUUCACCCUCUCC